rnacentral:rRNA from 1 species
UAACAAGGAUUCCCCUAGUAACUGCGAGUGAAGAGGGAAGAGCUCAAAUUUAAAAUCUGGCAGCUCUGCUGUCCGAGUUGUAAUCUGUAGAAGCAUUUUCUGCAUUGGACCGUGUACAAGUCUCUUGGAAGAGAGCGUCAUAGAGGGUGAGAAUCCCGUCCAUGACACGGACUACCAAUGCUCUGUGAUAUGCUCUCAAAGAGUCGAGUUGUUUGGGAAUGCAGCUCAAAAUGGGUGGUAAAUUCCAUCUAAAGCUAAAUACAGGCGAGAGACCGAUAGCGAACAAGUACCGUGAGGGAAAGAUGAAAAGCACUUUGGAAAGAGAGUUAAACAGUAUGUGAAAUUGUUGAAAGGGAAACACUUGAAGUCAGUCACGUCCUGCAGGACUCAGCCUUGCCUUUUAUUAGGCCUGGUGUAUUUCCUGCAGGAUGGGUCAACAUCAAUUUUGGUCAGUGGAUAAAGGAGGAGGGAAUGUGGCACCCUUGUGGGUGUGUUAUAGCCCUCCUUCAUAUGUACUGACUGGGAUUGAGGACUGCAGCAAGUCCUUUUGGACUUGCUUAGGAUGUUGACAAAAUGGCUUUAAGUGACCCGUCUUGAAACACGGACCAAGGAGUCUAACAUGCCUGCAAGUGUUUGGGUGGAAAACCCUUGCGCACAAUGAAAGUGAAAGUUGGGAACCUCCGCAAGGGGGUGCACUGACACCCAGCCCUGAUGUUUACUGACGGUGCUGCGGUAGAGCAUGUAUGUUGGGACCCGAAAGAUGGUGAACUAUGCCUGAAUAGGGUGAAGCCAGAGGAAACUCUGGUGGAAGCUCGUAGCGAUUCUGACGUGCAAAUCGAUCGUCAAAUUUGG